CCCAAGCCUUGAACAUCCCACGGAGCACUGUUCAAGCGAUCAUUCAGAAAUGGAAGGCGUAUGGCACAACUGUAAACCUACCAAGACAAGGCCAUCCACCUAAACUCACAGGCCGAACAAGAAGAGCGCGGAUCAGAAAUUCAGCCAAGAGGCCCAUGGCCCAUGGUGAUCCAGGAGAUUUUUUUUUUCUUUUUUUUUUUGAUCAUGGUAGUCAGGGUCAACUUUCUGGAUGCCCAAAUGUUCUUGAGAUGGAUGAAGGAGACUCUUGCUUUGCCAAUCCUUUUCUUGACGUCUGCAUCGGUUCCACCUUGCUGGUCAAUGAUGCUGCCUAGGCUGAUUCAGCAGUGACUCGACCACAGGACCCCACCCCACUUAAGAGGGAAAAGCUGAAAGGCUGGGUAUCACACUGGAGGGGAGCCUGUGUGUUAGGUUGAUUUUGAUAAUAGUUGUCAUUGUUGUAAUUAAAUUUGUAAACCUUGUCCUGAACUGCAUGUUUAGAUGUUUUUCUGUUCCUCCUCUGCCUGUUGGAGGGUGGGGGAGGCAAUUAAUUAUAGUGUUUAACUGCAGACAAUGCAUGUAAGGUCCUGGGUGUCCUUAUUUAGAAUAAGGAUGUUUACUUCUUGCCAUUUAUGGCUCACCUAUGGUUGUAUAUGGUGGGCCGUUAAAGGAGUUAAGCCAUAUACAGGGUGAGGUCAGAUGACCCUUUUUUUAUGACCAGCAGGAAGUCACACACACACACACACGCUCACACCUGCAUACACACACACACACACACACACACACACAAAAUGGGUGUUUGUGAAACUAUUUGUGACUGAAUAAAAUGUGGCAAGGUGACACUGGGAGUCAGAAUCGUCUGAGGUCAAGUGCAGAGUUGCAGCUCUGAGAUUCUGACCAGGCUUCCCUUGCACCGCAAGUUAAAACCAAUCGAUCGUUGUUUGUCUUGCUUUGUUCAUGGGUGUUAAGUCUCUGAACCAGCGGGGCCUGCUAGUGCAGACCCAACACUGUGGGAUAGCAGGCUGCACGAAACACAUGCUCUUUUGUUCACACGUUUAAACAUGUGAAAGGAGGGAUUGUUAGGAUUGAAAAUCUUUGAUUUCUCUUGCUAAAAUA